rnacentral:rRNA from 1 species
AUGCCUUCUGCAAAGACGAAAUUCGUGUUGCAGGCCAUGGAAGGGGCGCAAAAAACUCUGGAGGAGCUGCUCCAAAAAAUUUCGUCCCUCUCCACCGAAGUCCAACAACUAGGCACUCAAUUGGCGGAUUUCGGCAAGGGCCUUGACACAGUCAAGCGCCAGCAGGCGACCUACGAGGUGGCGACUCGCACUGCAGCAUCGACAGCGGUCGGGACCGCGGUCCUCACCUACCAUGGGCCGCCUCUCCUCGACCUACCCCAACGUCCACCCACCGUGCCCGAGCGUCGCAUCGAGCACCAAGAGCAGCCCCGGGGACACAACGACCGCCACCACUCCCCUUCCACCGUUGUCGCGCGACCACUACCGCCACAAGCCACCGAAGCACGAUUUCCCGCGCUUCACGAGCGACGCGCCACUGGCUCGACCUCUGUCGCACCUACUUCGACCUCUACCAAACGCCACCGGAGCAGUGGGUGA